UACGUAGGGUGCAAGCGUUAAUCGGAAUUACUGGGCGUAAAGCGUGCGCAGGCGGUUACGUAAGUCUGAUGUGAAAUCCCCGGGCUCAACCUGGGAACUGCAUUGGAGACUGCGUAGCUAGAGUACGUCAGAGGGGGGUGGAAUUCCACGUGUAGCAGUGAAAUGCGUAGAGAUGUGGAGGAACACCGAUGGCGAAGGCAGCCCCCUGGGAUGAUACUGACGCUCAUGCACGAAAGCGUGGGGAGCAAACAGG
rnacentral:rRNA from 2 species